rnacentral:rRNA from 1 species
AACGAACGCUGGCGGCAGGCUUAACACAUGCAAGUCGAGCGCCCCGUAAGGGGAGCGGCAGACGGGUGAGUAACGCGUGGGAAUCUACCCAUCUCUACGGAAUAACGCAUGGAAACGUGUGCUAAUACCGUAUACGUCCUUCGGGAGAAAGAUUUAUCGGAGAUGGAUGAGCCCGCGUUAGAUUAGCUAGUUGGUGGGGUAAAGGCCUACCAAGGCGACGAUCCAUAGCUGGUCUGAGAGGAUGAUCAGCCACACUGGGACUGAGACACGGCCCAGACUCCUACGGGAGGCAGCAGUGGGGAAUAUUGGACAAUGGGCGCGAGCCUGAUCCAGCCAUGCCGCGUGAGUGAUGAAGGCCCUAGGGUUGUAAAGCUCUUUCACCGGUGAAGAUAAUGACGGUAACCGGAGAAGAAGCCCCGGCUAACUUCGUGCCAGCCGCCGCAGUAAAAC